rnacentral:rRNA from 1 species
AGAACGAACGCUGGCGGCAUGCCUAAUACAUGCAAGUCGAACGAACACUUCGGUGUUAGUGGCGCACGGGUGCGUAACGCGUGGGAAUCUGCCCUUGGGUUCGGAAUAACAGUUGGAAACGACUGCUAAUACCGGAUGAUAUCGAAAGAUCAAAGAUUUAUCGCCCAGGGAUGAGCCCGCGUAGGAUUAGCUAGUUGGUGAGGUAAAGGCUCACCAAGGCGACGAUCCUUAGCUGGUCUGAGAGGAUGAUCAGCCACACUGGGACUGGAGACACGGCCCAGACUCCGUACGGGAGCAGCAGGUAGGGAAUAGUUGG